AUUACUACAGGUCUGCUUCUAAUGAGAUUCUGAUGUUCUGCCAUGGCUAAAUACAAGGGGCCCGUCCAGGUUAUUAAUCAUCUCAAAUCCUCAUUAAAGAAUUUAGAGAAGGAAAUAACAAGCAUUGUCAAGAUAAUUUCUCUGUUAGCUAAAACCAUGGUUUUAAGCAAAGGGUAGUGACACAAGUUUCAGAGCAAAAUCCGACAUCCCUAUAUGUGUGAUGACAGCAAUAGUAGCUCGACAGUGUGAUCAUGGAUAGAAAGCUCGUCCGCUUUCUGGAUCUUCAUCAAUGACAGUCUAGCUUGAACUUGUUUGUACCAGUAACAUUCCAUGCAUAUUUUCAUGCGCAGAUUGUACUUCAAAUGUCAAGAAAGGAAGCAUAAACUAGAUCAAAAGACAGGAAGCACCGGGUGCAUGAAGCAACUAGAAAAGGAAAGGUAAAAUAUUGCCAGCAACAAUACAACAUUGUUUUGCAAAUUCUAAAACUAAUCCAAUUCCAGGUACAAUAAAACUACAGCUAGUAAAUUUGCUAGUUUGAUAUCUGAAUGAAAAGUACUUUUCUCUGCCCUGGUCUACAAUGGAUAAAUCUAUUACCCUGUGCUAUCACAGUGGACUACCUUACACAGAAAAGGCUAGUAAUCCAAAAAUAUCCAUGGUCCAAGGAUAAAUUUCAAAUAUAAGAACUCCAAGGCAGUGAAGUACCUGCGAUGAACUACUCUUCGUGCUUGAUUUCUAGUCCCUUGAGUUUUGAUUCCAAUUCAUCUUCAUUAUCAG
rnacentral:lncRNA from 1 species